CGGCAGCCUCUGUCCCGAUAACCUGGAAGCGACGCACGUGCUACAAAGCGGCCUGGCGCCCGCACUAAGCUCCGAGGUCCGGCCACAGCUGCCCGCCGGCUCGGCCUUCGAUUCAGCGCAUAAGCUCAGUGUCAGAAACGCUGACGCCACUUUGCAGCUCGGGGAAAGAGGCCUUAGCUGGGAGGGGGCGGGAGCGGCGGAGCAAAGGGGGAGGGCGGACCACCCACGGAGCUGAGGAGAGGACGGGGGAGGGGCGGCAGCAAAGAGCGCCCGCACCUCCGGCACCGCCCGGGAGGCACCGGCUGCUCCCCCCCCCCCCCCCCCCCCCCCACCCCCGCUCCCUCCCGGCGCCCGCCGUGCUGCAGCUCGGCCGCCACCACCGCGCUAAUUUCACGGCGUGGGGGGGGGGGGGGUGUGUCACUGCUCCCUCCUCAUCCCAGCGGCAGGGAGCGGCCGAUGACUCUCUGGCGGGACUUUGCAAGAAGGUGCGGCAGCACGGCCCGAGGAAACCGAGCCACGGCAUCAGGACUUCGGGAAGGCAGAGGCCGGCCGACUCCCGAGGAGAACCUCAGCCACGGGCGGACUGCGCCGGACACGCCCCCACCUGCAGGGUUUCCCCGGGAACAGCGGAAGCCGCUUGUCAGAGCCGCGCGUGCGGCCUGGGAGAGCGCCCCCCCUCCCCCCCCCUCGGGCGGCAGAAGGAGAAGUCUGCACCAUCUGAGGGAGCUUUCAGAACGUGAGGUCGCUGGGAACGAUUGUACCGAGGACAAGGCGGGCCCGAAGCCCCUUCGCGCUCCUGCGAGCGGCCGCCCUCGCACAGUGAGGAGCCCGAGGGGCUUCGGGCUAACCAGCACCCUUCGCUUCACCCUGGAGCUAACAUCGGACGGCUCGGGGCCCCCUCGGGAGGAUCGCGGCCGGGUUAUCUUGGGGCCGCCCCGGCCCGCGUUGCAGGGAGACCCCCAAGCAUUGUGGGGCUCGUGCGGCCGGGCUGGAUUUGGCGCCCGAGGAUCGCGCACCUUAGUCCUGGUUACUUCCCGAGAACUGGGGGCCGCGCGGGGGAAGGCCGGGGUCCCCUUCGCCAUCACCGCCCAGGAGCCGCCAGUGCCCCGCCGGCCCCGCCCUCCCCUGCGGGCAGCCCCUGACAGAUCUCGCAGCCCGCCCCCGGACCGCGCCCGGAACCCCUCAGCCCCGCCCCCAUUCGGUGGCCUCUGAGCGCCCGCUGAGGCGAAGGCGGAGCAGGCCAAGCUCCGAGGGGGGGCGGGAGCCGGUGCACAGGGAGGAAGCCCCGGCGGGGGCGAGGGGGGGGCCAGGGACGGGGAACAGACGGAAGCUGUCACUUUGCUCCUGCGUGGGAGCCCUCUUAAAUGCCCCAGGCCCGCAAUUGUGGCCUCCCUGGGUCCUUUCCGGCCUCAGUGUCCCCUAGUGUUUGAUUCUCCGGUGGCCUGCAGGCAGUGCCUUCCUCCCAGUCCCUCUCUGGGCUGGUGCUCCUCCCACUUCUCUCUCUGGUGAUCCUCCCCCUCCGCCCCCCUCACUGGUGAUCCUCCCUCCACUGGUGGUCCUCCCAUCUCCCCCUCACUGAUGAUCCUCUUCUGGGCUGGUGGUCCCUCUCUGGGCCGAUGUUCCUCCCCCCCCCAUAGUCCUCCCCCGGCCGGCGGUCCCAUUCCAGCCCUGGCUUUCGCCAGUGUCCCCUCCCCCACCACUUCCGGCUCUCCCACGUGGGCCACGCCCUUCCCAGACCACAGAGGGCGCCCCCUAUGUCCGGAGCCCAGCCUCUCUCCCCCGGGCCACUGUGCGGUUCGCCCUCCGGCCCCCCGUGACCCGAUGACCCCGGCUGCGCUUAAAGUGUAUGGAGCCGCUCCCUGACGUGAUGCCGAGCCGGACUUCUGGCCUGGGCCGGUUGAGCGCAGGAUUUCUCAGGAACCCUGGGCGGGCCCCCCUGUCUCUGCAGGCUCGAGUCCCCCGCCGGCGCCCGGCGCCUCCUGCGUCUCAGUCCCGACCCUUGCUGAGGGCUGCUCCUGGGCCCGCGGGGGCCGCUCCCUCAGCGCCGGUAACGGGAGAAGCGCCAGGAUGUCCCGGGGAGCCCCCCCGGGCCCAGAGGCUGCUGCUCCCGGCGGGACUGGCCAGGCCCGGACUCGGGGAGGCGCGCGCUCCCGGCUCGCGUCUGGCCCCCGGUUCCUCCUGUCGGCGGGGCCGGGCGGGCGGGUCCCGGGCCCUGUGAGGUCCCUCGGUCCGGGGCGGGAGGGGCGCCUUCUCUCGCUCUGUGCCCGCGUUCCGGCCCAGGCGCCUGGAGGAGCGGCGGGCCCCGCUCCGGGGGAGGUGCCCGCUCACUCCCGGGUCUGCCGCCAUUUCCAGGCUGGGCGUCAGCAGCUGGGAGGAGACAGCGCCUCACGCGGGGCUCGCACUCGGGCCGCGGGGGCUCCUCCUCCCCGAAGAACGAGGUCGGGCCGAGAACCACCGGGUCCUUCUGUGCGGGACACGCGGCCACGUCGGCGCCCGAGGAGGGGCCUGUAACGGAAGGGGCGGAGAGGGAGCCGAUAAGCACGAAACUUUCACCCCAGUGUACUGCCCAAGCCCACUGAGCGGUAUCACGCCUUUACUUUAUGUAGCCCAGACCAGGCAGUCGAACAUCUUAA